rnacentral:lncRNA from 1 species
GGAGGGGUAUUUUCAUGAAAUUUGGAUAUGCCUCAGUGGAAAUAUAUGGGAGGAGUCCGUGGUCAAAUUUGGGAUCAAUUGGAGGAAGUUUGGCGCAUGAAAUGAUGAGUUAAAGGAGUGUUAGGGGUUUAAAACAAGGUUUAGGACUAAACCGCGAGAACCGGGGAUCUAUUUGUAAUUAUUUCUGAAAGGUGGAAGGGCAUAUUCGCGAAACUUUUCUGAGAGAGGUGGGAGGGCCGGUUUGUAAAUAGAAGAUACUAGGGGGUUAGAUCGAAAUGGGAGGGGAUUUAUCCCUUCUUCUUCCUUGAAUCGUGACAGGAAGUGGAGGAAGGAGAGGAAGCCGGUGGGGGGGCCGGCCGGCCGGACCUCGCCGGCGGUGAGCCGUGGGGCGGAGGAGGUGGAGGAAGUGGAGGGGGUCCCAUUUUGCCCCUUACCUUGGGAAGUUGGAGAUAGGGGAGUGCGGCCGGUGGUGGACAGGGAGAUGGCGGCGCACGGGCGGCGGUGGGAUGCGCAGGGAGGUGAGGGGCUAGAGCUCCGGGAGAGGGGGCGGGAUGUGGCGGUGGUGGCUGGGGUGUUGUCCCUUUUUAUAGGCCAGUGGGAGGGACGGGUAGCGGCCGGAGGUGAUGAUGGUGGCCGGGACUUUUC